rnacentral:rRNA from 1 species
UACGAAGGGGGCUAGCGUUGCUCGGAAUCACUGGGCGUAAAGGGUGCGUAGGCGGGUCUUUUAAGUCAGGGGUGAAAUCCUGGAGCUCAACUCCAGAACUGCCUUUGAUACUGAGGAUCUGAGUUCGGGAGAGGUGAGUGGGAACUGCGAGUGUAGAGGUGAAAUUCGUAGAUAUUCGCAAGAACACCAGUGGCGAAGGCGGCUCACUGGCCCGAUACUGACGCUGAGGCACGAAAGCGUGGGGAGCAACAGG